rnacentral:rRNA from 1 species
AUGGCUGCCUCUGCCGCCGCCGACGACAUUGCCGAGCUUGCGAUCACCUCGCUUCCCCUCGACACAUGGUUCCGCCCGUUCCAUCUGAGGCAGUACGGCGGGUUCUGGCUCCUGGAGGAGUUCCUCAUGGCCGCUCCGGCCAUCCACUCGGUCUUCAAGCUGAGGCCCUCGGACGUCCUCCUUGCCAGCUUCCCCAAGUGCGGCACCACCUGGCUCAAGGCCCUCGCCUUCGCCACGCGCAACCGGGCCGAGCACCCGCCGCGUGACCCCGACCACCCGCUCCGCCGUGGCAACCCCCACGACGUCGUCAAGUACUUGGAGGUGGCGUUCGGGCAGCCGAUGGGCGACAGUGGAGCAGGCGAUGUCUUCGCGGCGCUCCCUUCGCCACGCGUGCUCGCCACACACCUCCCCUGCUCUCUCCUGCCACGGCGCAUGACCGCGGAGGAGUCCGACUGCCGGAUCGUGUACAUCUGCCGGGACCCAAAGGAUGCGCUCGUCUCCUCGUGGUUCUUCGCCAAGAAGGGGGCGGCCGCCAUUGCACUAACACUAGCACGAGCCGACAAGGACAUGGACAUGCAGCAACAGCCGCCGCCGCCGUACACAUUCGAGGAGGCGUUCGAGCUGUUCUGCGAUGGCAUAUGCGUCAGCGGCCCGCAGUGGCGCCACGUGCUGGGCUACUGGGAGAUGAGCAGGAAGCGGCCGGAGAAGGUGCUCUUCCUCCGGUACGAGGAGAUGCUCCGGGACCCGUGA